AAACCCUCACGCGCCUAGCUUCAAGUAUCCAAAGCUUCUCUAGAGUCUUCUCGCAUGAUAGGCGCCCAACGUUUAGCACCGUCCGCUUAACGAGAUCGUUCCAAUGUGAACAAAUGUUCUUUUUAUCAUUCUUCACAUAAUUGUGUUUGAAACCUGGUAUUUCACUUGGCACAUGAACUGUGAAUAGAUAGUGGAUCUGAAGUUGAACACAUGGUUCACAUACGGAGGGAUUCUCGUCCCUGUAAAGCCAUGCUCAUCACUUUUAUAACUUUCACUUUUGGAUGAUACAAGAGAAACUUUUGAG
rnacentral:lncRNA from 1 species